GCUUUCAGAACCCAUGCACCCAGAACCAAGUUCGGCCGUCAGCCACAUGGAAAGGCAGCACCCCAUCCCUUCCCCUUAGCACUUCCUGACCCUUCUCCUUUUGCUUCCUACUCCUAGUUUUCCCCCUUCCGCAAAGAAAAGAGUUCUAAACCAGAUCACAGUAAGACCUUAGGGAUGAAAGUAGCCAUCCCCUUCUGAAGGUGUUUGCAUUCUACAGAAUGGAAGGAUUCUGGCCAGGGCUGCAGCAGGUAGUGGUGAGCAUGAAGCCAGGAAGGCUAAGAUCAAAAUCGGGGACCCUGCGGGAGAUUGGAGGGGACUUCUGAGUGUACCUCACAUUCCAUCAGAUAGGCCCUAAUCAUUUUGCCAAAGGGAGGGAUUUGAGGGGAUCAUAGCAAAGGUUCUCUUAUCAGGACAGCCCCAGGAAGCCCUGCAAAGGUGAGGAGAGACAGCCAAUGAAGGAUGAAGCUGUGUGAAUUUUAGCUUCAGCCUCAGGUUCUGCUCAGCAAAAGUGGAAGAUCUGGUCAUUUAUAGACUCCUGGACUUAAAUCAAAAGAGCCAGAACCUCGACAUAGCGACUCCAGGAGCUAGGUGACACUGAAGUCACCUUACCCCUCCAUAUCCUGUAAAACAGGGAUGAUCACAAGAGAAAGUUGUGGAGCUGAAAUGGGCUGAUGCACUCGAAGGCUUUUUCACUCAGAGACGGUCAGAAGACAUUUGCCAGAUGAUUUCCAGAUGUGUCAGAAUGGGGAGCACUCUCUUUUGAGCAGGAUAGCUCUCUCCCACACUUAAUGUAUGCCUGAGAGGAGAGAGAGAGACAAAGAAUGAUCAGACUGUACACCAUUUGUGGACAAAGGGUCAUCAUAGGGCUUUGACAAUUCUCCAAGAGCACUGGUUCCACAUAGAAGCUGGCUUCACAGGCUGGCAUUGGGAUUAGGCCAGAGGUCAGAUAGUAGGUGUGGCAAGGCCCCAGGUGGGCUAAGGCUGGCCAUGGAGACAGGUGGGCUUUCCUGUUGAAUGCUUCCAGGGAAGUCAUGCCGUCUGGAACCUCAGAUUUGGCAAAUCAGCAAA
rnacentral:lncRNA from 1 species